UCACUACCGUAAAAACAAAAAUCACCACAAAAAAAAAGAGAAAUCAACACCAGAAAAUAAAAAUCACCACCGUAAAAAUAAAAAUCACCACAAGAAAAUGAAAAAAUCAACAUCAGAAAAUACAAAUCACCCCGUAACAACAAAAAUCACCACAUAAGCAACACCAACACCAUCUCCAUCUUCAGAUCCGUCAACACCAUCGACAUAAUUAUAAAACGUGACGGCGGAGCUUGGGUGCGGGCGUUGAAGUUGGAUCGAGGACGGGUAGCAGCGUGGCGUCAUCGACGACGGUAGCAGGAGUACUGAAAAUGGCGGCGAUUGUUUGUUGUGUGGCAAAGCCACCAUCACGGUGGUGGCAGCGACAAGAAAAGAGAUGCGGGAAGAGAUUGAAGGAGAAGGGGCAGGAGAGAGAACGGUGAUGUCGGAAAACAAGGUCGAUGACCAUGAUAACGCAUUGUUGGUGGACUUGACGGCGAUGAUGGUGGAGAAAUGAUGGGUUGGUC
rnacentral:lncRNA from 1 species